AUGAACGCUGGCGGCGUGCCUAAUACAUGCAAGUCGAGCGAACGGACGAGAAGCUUGCUUCUCUGAUGUUAGCGGCGGACGGGUGAGUAACACGUGGAUAACCUACCUAUAAGACUGGGAUAACUUCGGGAAACCGGAGCUAAUACCGGAUGAUAUUUUGAACCGCAUGGUUCAAAAGUGAAAGACGGUCUUGCUGUCACUUAUAGAUGGAUCCGCGCUGCAUUAGCUAGUUGGUAAGGUAACGGCUUACCAAGGCAACGAUGCAUAGCCGACCUGAGAGGGUGAUCGGCCACACUGGAACUGAGACACGGUCCAGACUCCUACGGGAGGCAGCAGUAGGGAAUCUUCCGCAAUGGGCGAAAGCCUGACGGAGCAACGCCGCGUGAGUGAUGAAGGUCUUCGGAUCGUAAAACUCUGUUAUUAGGGAAGAACAUAUGUGUAAGUAACUGUGCACAUCUUGACGGUACCUAAUCAGAAAGCCACGGCUAACUACGCG
rnacentral:rRNA from 1 species